rnacentral:rRNA from 1 species
GUCUAGCAGUCGCAGCAUCGGCCAAGAGACCCCUAGGCCCAACCCUCAGAGCCAAUCCUUUUCCCGAAGUUACGGAUCUAGUUUGCCGACUUCCCUUAUCUACAUUCUUCUAUCGACUAGAGGCUGCUAACCUUGGAGACCUGCGGCGGUGAUGAGUACGACCAGGGGUGCGAAUAAGUCACGCCGCCGGGGUUUCAAGGGACGUCGAGAGCGCACCGAAGCGGUCCAAAAAUGACCGCCUUUCCCAAGCCGCUAACCCAAUCUCCGGUCAAUCCGAUUCCGGGGUCAGUGCACUUGUUAACAAGAAAAGAAAACUCUCCUCGGGGCUCCCGCCGCCGUACCCGGCUUCGCUUGUGUUGCCACUCAAUAUCCACGUCCUGGUUCGGGAAUAUUAACCCGAUUCCCUUUCGAUAGAAGUGGCAAAGCCAACCUUACAACAGAUUUCUCCUAUCUCUUAGGAUCGACUAACCCACGUCCAAUUGCUGUUCACGUGGAACCUUUCUCCACUUCAGUCUUCAAAGUUCUCAUUUGAAUAUUUGCUACUACCACCAAGAUCUGCACUAAAGGCCGUUUCACUCUGGCUCACGCCACGAGCUGCACAACAACCUUCACGUCCUCCUACUCACUGCGCGCCAAACACUUGCGACAGUGGUGGAGUAUAAGUGGCCCGCUUCAGCGCCAUCCAUUUUCAGGGCUAGUUCAUUCGGCAGGUGAGUUGUUACACACUCCUUAGCGGAUUCCGACUUCCAUGGCCACCGUCCUGCUGUCUAUAUGAACCAACACCUUUUGUGGGAUCUAGGUGAGCGAGCACUUUGGCACUUUAUCUCCACGUUCGGAUCAUCCCGCAUCGCCGAACCAGCUUACCCGGUGCGGCCCACUAGCGACCAACAUUCAACCGCAGGGUUCAAUUAAGCAACCCCGAGUUCUUACCCAUUUAAAGUUUGAGAAUAGGCCGAGGGCAUUCCGCCCCCGGAACCUCUAAUCAUUCGCUUUACCUGAUAAAAUUGCAUAAUGAUCGCAGCUAUCCUGAGGGAAAUUUCGGAGGAAACCAGCUACUAGUAUGGUUCGAUUAGUCUUUCGCCCCUAUACCCAAAUUUGACGAUCGAUUUGCACGUCAGAAUCGCUACGAGCCUCCACCAGAGUUUCCCCUGGCUUUACCCUAUUCAGGCAUAGUUCACCAUCUUUCGGGUCCCAACAUAAAUGCUCACACUCAGACCGUUCUCCCGAGGGAUUGAGGCCGGCGGAUUGGGCAAAUAUACAACCACUGUCACUUUCAUUACGCACCGAGGUUUGACACCUCUGUACUCGCACAUAUGUUAGACUCCUUGGUCCGUGUUCCAAGACGGGGUAAAGAAAACCAUUUCGUCAGACCCCUUCGCAAACCGUGCUGAUUGCACACUAAGCAAACGGCCCUGACCACUGCGGCCACAGCGCUCCGACCGCAAGCGGUAGGAGAAAUAUGACACGCAAAACACUGGUUUCCUUCGCUUCCAUUUCAGCAAUUUCAGGUACUCUUUAACUCUCUUUUCAAAGUUCUUUGCAUCUUUCCCUCACGGUACUUGUACGCUAUCGGUCUCCCACCAAUAUUUAGCUUUCGAUGGAAUUUACCACCCACUUUGAGCUGCAAUCCCAAACAACUCGACUCAAUCAUGUAAGCUCAAAUGCACAGCCGAACGGGAGUCUCACCCUCUAUGCUGCCCUGUUCCAAGGGACUUCGGCCGAGCGAUAACGCAAACACACCACAAUUCUUCGGUUUGAGCUCUUCCCGCUUCAGUCGCCCUUACUGAGGGAAUCCUGGUUAGUUUCUUUUCCUCCGCUUAAUUAUAUGCUUAAAUUCAGCGGGUCUCCUUACUUAAUCUGAGAUCCGGACGCAAUCAAGGAAAUGAUAUGCACGCACGGUCGCGGGUCGCCGUCCGUCACUGACCAAUGCUCAAACUCUGCUCUUCCAACAAGGAAAGAAAAAAGACUAACAGAACACCGAGUCACACACGGACAAGGCAAACAAGGACUACGGCAACUCAUCCUAAUCAUGAUAACAAAAUCAUGAUAAGACUAAGCUAGUAAUCUACUUUCGAUCAUUUCGUUACAGCAACUUGGACUAACGAGAGCCUACUUUGCAGCAACAUAUUCCAGCGAGCUCAAAAUGACAACAUGUUGUGUACAACAUGAGUCACAGUCAGCUGCUGAGUGGGGUUCACGGACACUCAGAUAAGUAUGCUACCGGACAUUUCCCGGAAGCGCAAUGUGCGUUCAAAAUUUUGAUGAUUCACGAGGUUUUGCAAUUCGCAUUACGUAUCGCAUUUCGCUGCGUUCUUCAUCGUUGUGGGAGCCUAGACAUCCGUUGCUGAAAGUUGUAUGUCAUUUUUACUUAAUAAGAAGGGGCCACCCUCAAACAAAUGCUAUAACACACUUGCUCGAGGCUCGCACACCUUUUUUGCUUCAUGAUCUUUACGGUCCACUCGCGUUACAAAGAGGAAAAAGCAGCGGGUUUGCCCUCAGGCUAGCCGCACCACUCUCCACCCAUUCGGGAUUUUUUUAUUCUCCACUACUCGUAAAUGCUACACCGACACACAAGUCGUGUGGUGAUGCAACAGACAGAGAGCGGGAGGUCAACUUACUAGCACACAAUAUACACGCAUACUUGCGUAAGCGUGUACCCAUGCGCGAGCUCGAAGACUCAUUCACAAAAACAGGCAAGACGACCCACGGCUGCACGUGCAUCAAUACAACACACAUACACACCGUGGCUCAUCCUCCUUUUUUUACUCGGGCCCGCAACCACCAGACUGCUAGCAUCUUACAGCCAGCAACCGGCGACGCGAGACCCAAGAACAAGUGUGGUAAUGAUCCUUCCGCAGGUUCACCUACGGAAACCUUGUUACGACUUCACCUUCCUCUAAAUGAUAAGGUUUAGACAAGUUCUCGCGACAAAUCCCCAAUAAAGGAAACUCAUCACAAUCCCGAGGCUUCACCGGACCAUUCAAUCGGUAGGUGCGACGGGCGGUGUGUACAAAGGGCAGGGACGUAAUCAAUGCAGACUGAUGAUCUGCGUUUACUAGGAAUUCCUCGUUCAAGAUUAAUAAUUGCAAUAAUCUAUCCCUAUCACGAUGCACGUUCACAGAUUUCCCAGGCCUCUCGGCCAAGGUACACUCGUUGCAUGC